AGGGCAUACAUUCAAGGCUACAGCAGAAGUGCUCAUGGCGCAGCCCUGUCAGAUUCCAAUAAAUCUGCAAAUUCUGCU
rnacentral:ribozyme from 1 species